GGUUCCAUAGUGUAGGUGGUCAUCACAUAGGAUUCUGAUUCCUGAGACCCGAGUUCGAAUCUCGGUGGGACCU